GUCAUUAGGAAUGGAAAUAGAGUAAGAAAUAUUUAUUCCACCAAUAUGCCCAUUACUUCAAAGAAAAUUUACAUUUAUCUUUUGUCAAAAUAUUGAAAUAAAAGAUGCAAAAUAAAAAAGAGAAUUCCACUUCUACUGGUGAUAUAGUACUCUAUAUUAGACUAACUCUAAGAACCACAAUGAAAGUUAAAAAAAAAAAAGAGAGAAAGGGAGAGAGAGGAAGGGAGGAAGGGAGAGAGAAAAUGAUGGGAACAGAGGGGAAACGAUAUCUCAUGUUUUCUUUUUUCUUUUAUUCUCUUGCUUGCAGGCUGGAUUGAGCAUAUUCUAUGAACUGGACACUCAUUUCUUCUUCUGUGAUUUGCUGGUUGCCAACAGUUGCAUGACACACACUAGUUUGAGCCGUCGGUAGUGAAAACUGCAUUUAUGGCAUUCACCUGACAGAUGAUGCUAUGAAUUCGGGGAUUCUAUUUGGUGUUCGGAAUCAAGGGGUAAAGCCAAGGUGCUACACAACUAACAAUAAUUACGAGAAGAAAAAUGAGGAUCAGUUUCACAAACGAUAAAUUAGAAAAGGUUUUGGACUUGAAGCCCAAAUGAAGAAUCACCUUAAUCCCUCUCCCUCGACUAAAGAUAACCCUCUUCUACUAAGUGCCUGGAUUACCUAAUCAGAAUAUGAAGAAGCUGCAUCGCAGAGACUUGAAUCAUAUGGGUACAUGAAUCAUAUAAGAGAGACAGGGACCACAUGAGUGUGAGUUGGGGAGAGGAGCAGAGGGAAAGAGAGAAUCUUAUGCAGACUCCACACCUAGCAUCGAUGCAGCGUUAGAUCUGACAACUGACUGAGAUCAUGACCUGAGUCGAAAUCAAGAGUCAGACACUUAACCCACUGAGCCACCCAGACGCUUCUCCCCUUUUUUAGGAGGCUGUUUAUUUUUAAAGCAUUAGCCAGAAAUUUCUGAAUAACUUUGUUUGAUAUCCACUAAACCAAGAAGAGAGAAAGUCAAAUGGAUAUUCUUUGAAGCUAUAUACAGAAAAAUAAAAGUGCCACAUAUGAACCAAAGUAGCCAGAAAUCCUUAGUGGGUUUUUUUUCUUCAUUUUUUAAAUGUUUAUUUAUGUUUGAGAUGGGGGAGGGGCAGAGAGAGAGGGAGACACAGAAUCUGAAGCUGUCAGCACAGAGCCCUUCACAGGGCGCGAACCCACGAAUCCUGAGAUCAGGAACGGAGCCAAAGUCGGACGCUCUACCAACUGAGCCACCCAGGCACCCAAUCCUUGGUAUUUUUAAAAGUUCCUCUAACAGUUCACAGUCAAUGAAAUUAUAACAGAAAGUGUAUUUUCCCACAUGUAUUUCCAUUUAUAAAUCUAAAAUAGUAACUGCUGAUACAUGAACUUCAGAGUUGCUGAAAAACAUGCUUAU